GUGCUCGCUUCGGCAGCACAUAGACUAAAAUUGGAAGGAUACAGAGAAGAUUAGCAUGGCCCCUGCGCAAAGGAUGACAUGCAAAUUCGUGAAGCGUUCCAUAUUAAA